UACGUAGGGGGCAAGCGUUGGUCCGGAAUCAUUGGGCGUAAAGAGCGUGUAGGCGGCUUGGUAAGUCCGCUGUGAAAGUCCAGGGCUCAACCCUGGAAUGCCGGUGGAAACUGUCAAGCUUGAGUCCGGAAGAGGCGAGUGGAAUUCCUGGUGUAGCGGUGAAAUGCGCAGAUAUCAGGAGGAACACCAAUGGCGAAGGCAGCUCGCUGGGACGGUACUGACGCUGAGACGCGAAAGCGUGGGGAGCAAACAGG
rnacentral:rRNA from 1 species